rnacentral:rRNA from 1 species
UACGGAGGGUGCAAGCGUUAUCCGGAUUCACUGGGUUUAAAGGGUGCGUAGGCGGGCAUGUAAGUCCGUGGUGAAAUCUCCGAGCUUAACUCGGAAACUGCCAUGGAUACUAUGUGUCUUGAAUGUUGUGGAGGUGAGCGGAAUAUGUCAUGUAGCGGUGAAAUGCUUAGAUAUGAACAUAGAACACCAAUUGCGAAGGCAGCUCACUACACAAAAUAUUGACGCUGAGGCACGAAAGCGUGGGGAUCAAACAGG